rnacentral:misc_RNA from 1 species
GAUGAAGAACGUAGUGAAAUGCGAUAAGUAAUGUGAAUUGCAGAAUUCAGUGAAUCAUCGAAUCUUUGAACGCACAUUGCGCCCGCCAGUAUUCUGGCGGGCAUGCCUGUUCGAGCGUCAUUUCAACCAUCAAGCCCCCGGCUUGUGUUGGGGACCUGCGGCUGCCGCAGGCCCUGAAAAGCAGUGGUGGGCUCGCUGUCACACCGAGCGUAGUAGCAUACAUCUCGCUCUGGGCGUGCUGCGGGUUCCGGCCGUUAAACCACCUUCAUAACCCAAGGUUGACCUCGGAUCAGGUAGGAAGACCCGCUGAACUUAAGCAUAUCAAUAAGCGGAGGA